CCUCCUUAAACGAAACGGACUCAUUUUGGUCAGAGUUCACACGAAUUGCUUGGUUGGUAUUUAGAGAGCGAAAGGGCAUAGGCCCUAGAAGGCCUGUAGCUCAGGUGGUUAGAGCGCACCCCUGAUAAGGGUGAGGUCGGCAGUUCAAGUCUGCCCAGGCCUACCAAUUUUCCAUUAUGCUUCGUUAACGCACUGCUCACGUACUGUUAGUACGCGACGCAAGACGUUCCUCGCCUAAAUAAAAAAUAUACCUUAUUAAGGUUUGCAAAAAACCACUGUAAAAUUUGGGGGCUAUUAGCUUCAACUGGGGAAAAAGCGCCCUGGCCUUUGCCCCCCAAGGAAGGGCCAACAANUUUCCAAUCCCUUGCUUUAACCUCCCCCCCAAUUUUUCUUUCCGGGCUU
rnacentral:tRNA from 1 species